rnacentral:rRNA from 1 species
UACGAAGGGGGCUAGCGUUGUUCGGAAUUACUGGGCGUAAAGCGCGCGCAGGCGGUCUUCCAAGUCAGUGGUGAAAGCCCGGAGCUCAACUCCGGAACUGCCAUUGAAACUGUGAGACUUGAGGACGAGAGAGGUGAGUGGAAUUCCCAGUGUAGAGGUGAAAUUCGUAGAUAUUGGGAAGAACACCGGUGGCGAAGGCGGCUCACUGGCUCGUAUCUGACGCUCAGGCGCGACAGCAUGGGGAGCGAACAGG